ACCACUGCCUGGCUGCUAUCUUUCUUUUAAAACAUGCAAGGCUUUAAUACCAGCACUUGGGAGGCAGAUACAAGAGGAUCUCUCUUGAGUUCGAGGCCAGCCUGGUCUACAAGAGCUAGUUCCAGGACGGGCACCAAAGCUACAGAGAAAGCUUGUCUCGAAAAAACCAAAAAGAAAAAGAAAGAAACAAACAAAAAACAAACAAACAAAAAACCUGGCACAACAUACAAAUCAGGCCUUCAUCCCCGUGCUCAGGGCCAACCAAGUGCAGGUUGUCUCUGUGAGCUGGAGGCCAGCCUGUCCUAAUAAGACCUAUCAAUCAGUCAGUCAGAAAAUAAAAAUAAACUAGUCUAUAGAAAUAAAUUGAUGAGGAAAGUGGAAUUUGAAACUGGGUUUCAUUAUUUUACAUUUUUUUAAAAAAGAAAUCUUUAUUUUAUGUGUGUGUUUUGCCUGCAUGCAUGUCUGUAGAGUAAGGUACAUUCCUGGUGCUCUCAGAGGCCAGAAGAGGUCAUUGGAUCCCCUAGAACUAGAGUUACAGAUAGUUGUGAACUGCCAAAGGGUGCUGGGAAUCAAACCCAGGUCCUCUAGAAGAGCAGUCAGUGCUCUUAACCUCUGGUCUAUCCCUCCAGUAUCCACUCACACCUUUUUGUUUUUAAAAUGUUUUAACACAGGGCAUUACUCGGCAGUCCUGGCUGUCCAAAAGCGAGCUAUGUAGCCUGGGUGGCCCCAAACUUACAACAGCCUCGAUCUGACUCUCAGGUCCUGGGGUCAGAGGUGAGCAGCCCACGCCCAGCUACACUGCUUCUUUAUAACUCACCCUUUGGACUGAGGUGCCCAUUUGUCUCAAACUGUUAGAGCAGGUUCCUAGAAUUGGUAGAUAGAUACACCAGCCUCCUUAUUCAUCGCUAUAAUGAAAUACCCAACGAGAAGGCAAAUGAAAAGGGGAAGGGUUUGGGCUCACAGUUUGAGGGUACAGCCCAUCAUGGCAGGGAAAGCAGCAGGAAGCUGCUUGCUCACCCCUGGGCAGGUGCAUGGUGUUCCUCACACCUGGGCAGGUGCGUGGUGUUCCUCACCCCUGGGCAGGUGCGUGGUGUUGCUCACCCCUGGGCAGGUGCGUGGUGUUGCUCACCCCUGGGCAGGUGCAUGGUGUUGCUCACCCCUGGGCAGGUGCGUGGUGGUCCUCACCCCUGGGCAGGUGCAUGGUGUUGCUCACACCUGGGCAGGUGCGUGGUGGUCCUCACCCCUGGGCAGGUGCAUGGUGUUCCUCACCCCUGGGCAGGUGCAUGGUGAUGGUCAGCUUACUUCUUCACUUCCCCUUUUAUACAUCUGAGGACCUCUACCCACUGGAUGGUGCCCCCACAAUCAGGAUAGGUCUUCCUUCCUCAGUUAAACUUCUCUGGAAGUGCCCCCUGCCCCUCACACACAGCCAGAACAGUGCCUCCCUGGAGCCCUGGUGUUUUUUCAUUCAAUCAAGAUGCCAGUUGAAACGAUUGACCUGGAAAGGCUGGUGAAACCUAAGGUCACGUGUGGAGCAGCAGGUGUAAACUCUAGUGCUCAUUGCUUGCAGCGCUGUUAAUCCCUGGGUCCUCUGGUCACAGCACCGCUAUUGUCCUCCACUUGUUAGAAAACCCUGACAAAGUAUCUUCUUCAUGGUGGCAAAGGGAGAACCUUUUUACAUUCUAGAAUUCAUAAUUAUUUAUUAUAUAUACAGCAUUCUGCCUGCAUGUACGCUUGCACACCAGAAGAGGGCACCAGAUCUCAUCAUAGAUGGUUGUGAGCCACCAUGUGGUUUCUGGGAAUUGAACUCAGGACCUCUGAAAGAGCAGCCAGUGCUCUUAACCUCUGAGCCAUCCCUCCAGCCCCUAGAAUUCAUGUUUAAGGGGGAAGGGAGAAGGGAAAUUAAAUCAGCACACAAGUUUCCUCUCAAAGUUUCAUUUUGUUUUUUUCUCUUUUUGCUUUGACACAAGGUGAUGAUGUGCAGUCCAGGCUGGCCUUGAACUCUCAGUUCUUCCACCUUAGCCUCCUGAGUGCUGGGAUUGCUAGCAGGUGUCACCACCCCCAGCUAAGUCUGGCACUCUACGUGGUUUAGGAAGAUUCCUCAGCUCUUGGUUGUAGCCGUGUCCUAGGCCUGGACUAUCUGAGAUCCUUGGCUUUAAAGGCCUCUUCAGAAUUCUUUUGUUUGUUUGUUUGAUUGAUUGAUUGAUUGAUUGGUUUUUCAAGACAGGGUUUCUCUGUGUAGCCCUGGCUGUCCUGGAACUUACCAUGUAGACUAGGCUGGCCUCGAACUCAGAAAUCCUCCUGCCGUUGCCUCCCGAGUGCUGGUAAAGGUGUGUGUCACCACUGCCUGGCUUCUUCAAAAUUCUGAUAGCCACCAAGGCCUGCAGCUUCUCUUCUCUGGCUCCUUAUGUUUUUCCUUCCUUCUUCAGCCUCAGCUCUCUGGCGUCUGUUUCUGCCACUCCGCUGCUCCUGCCCUGGGCACUCCCUUGAACUGUUCAACCUCUUUAGCACCCAGGCAGCUGGCUGCCUUGCUGCGUUUGUGUUGAGUGACAGUUCAACCAGCUGCUGUCACGCGGCUCUCUCUGCGGCUGCUGCCACUCAGCCCACACUACUAAAACAAGACCAAAAGACUGACAGCAUCACUGGGCCCGAUGUUGCAACACCAGAGGAGACAGCACAGGACGGUAUCUGUUUCCCAGGCGACUCCCCAAGUGAGCCUGAACAACCUGCCGAAUGCCAUAGCCGGGGUGAUUGCACUAACAGCAAUACACUUCGCCUGCAGAUGAAGGUCAGUGACAUCACUAAUCACUGUAUUGCUCCUCUGGGCUAGGUAAAGAUGCUCAUAGGACCAUCUAGAGUUUUCUAAGUCUCCAAUAGCGAAAUGUCUGUAUCUUAUUUGUCCUGGCUGCGGCUGCACCUUCAGGAGAGGGGCAAUCAGCUGGGCCUGAGCAGUUUUUCUCAGAGAGCCUAAGGAGCUAAUGCUGGCAAGAGAGUAAUGGCUGGAUUCUGAAGCAUACAGUUAUGAAAUCAGAUUGCCCCAACUCCCAAAUGUUUUGAUGCUUACAGUUGGAACUUAAGGAACUUAGUACGCUAAUCCUGAUCUUAACAGUGAUUUACCAGCGUCUGAUACCUGCCCUAGGCGGAGAUGGGUCCUCCCAUCCCAUCUGUCUCGUGUGCCCAUACACCCACCCAGCCCCCCUACCCUUCACGUCCAGACAUCUUGAAGGCUGGUCCUGCGCGCUUCAGCUCUCUGUGUGGUCUUUCCCUCAAGUAAACCAGACCCCGUUCCCAGCUUCAUACUAAAGAAAGCCAUGAUUAAACGAGGGCACUACCAGUGCAUUCUCGUGUGAGCAAAAGGAGCUUAAAGUUUUAACAGACUCCUCAGAUGUAUGGAAAUUUCCAGGAAUUACACAGGAAAAUAAGUACUUAUAAGUGAAGCCUUGGGCUUCUGGUUUUCAGUUAACGGUGACCAUGAACGACAUAAUUGCUCAGCAAAUUUUAAGUUGUUUUGUAGAGGGCUCUUUUAGACUUGACCUAAAAGUAUGUGUGCUCUUGGGGCCGGGGGUUGUUAACCCCACAGAUUUGAGGAGGAAGACCACUGACCCAAAUCCUGUCCAAAUUCAUUAAAGCAAGCUUUUCAUUAAAAACUUUUUUUAUUAAACUGUAGCUGAAGGUCUCUCUCCCGCCUGCCAGUUCCAGAAUAACCGCUCUGAGGUUUAAUAUUCAUUACAAACUGUUUGGCUGAUGGCUCAGGCUUCUUACUGGCUAGCUCUACAUACAAACUAAUCCAUUUCUAAUAAUCUGUGUAUCACCACGUGCCCUGUGGCUUACCAGGAAUGUGAGGAGUA